rnacentral:rRNA from 1 species
UACGUAGGGGGCAAGCGUUGUCCGGAUUUAUUGGGCGUAAAGAGCGUGUAGGCGGCUUUACAGGUCCGUUGUGAAAACUCGAGGCUCAACCUCGAGACGCCGGUGGAAACCGUAAAGCUAGAGUCCGGAAGAGGAGAGUGGAAUUCCUGGUGUAGCGGUGGAAUGCGCAGAUAUCAGGAGGAACACCAAUAGCGAAGGCAGCUCGCUGGGACGGUACUGACGCUAAGGCGCGAAAGCGUGGGGAGCGAACAGG